rnacentral:misc_RNA from 1 species
UGUGGGAGCGAGCCUGCUCGCGAUGGCGUCGGGUCAGCAACAUCAAGGGUGUUGACGUACCGCUAUCGCGAGCAGGCUCGCUCCCACA